GAAUCAUGUGUGUCUUAUUCUUAUCUACAAUAUAAAUUUAGUAUCACAUCUUGAGAUUCAAGAAAAGGAAUUUGAUCAGUAACUUGAAAUUGAAGAACCAGACAUUUUAAAACCAAAUCUCUCUACAGAAAUUGCCAAAGAAGUCCUGUGUUGAUCCCCAAUGAACAUCCUGGAAGCCAAACUCCUUUUCAGCAUCAGCUUCGGGAAGAUCCAUCCUGAGACAUAUAGCAAGGG